CCAUCGGGCAGGGCCUGAGCCCACGGUGAGCCAGAAGAGGAUGGGGGGAAGAUCCCCAGGCCUCUGUGACUCGCCUCAGUUCCCCAGGACACUGUGGCGCCAUGGAGGUCUGUCCCCUCCCUCCUCCUCACAGCAGAGACCCGGGGGCAUGAGGCAGCGUCUGCUCCAGAGUGGGCCCGAUGGGCCUGUGGGCCGGGUGAAACCAUGUGCACAGAAAGCUUGCAGCAGACAAGAAACAUAGAAAAUGUCUUUUAUUCUCCACUGCUUUUCACACUCGAUGUCAGCUUUCAGCUGGCGGGAUCUGGAGUGAGCGUGUGAGAUGUUUCCCAGCGUGAGGGGAGCAGGUGCUGCGGUGAGCUCCCCAGGGCUGGGGUCGGAAUCCAAAGGCGCAGGGCGGCCUCCCCUCCACGCCGUCCUCCCCUCCACACAGGGCUCCCCU
rnacentral:lncRNA from 1 species